rnacentral:rRNA from 1 species
UACGUAGGGUCCGAGCGUUGUCCGGAGUGACUGGGCGUAAAGCGCGUGUAGGCGGCCAUGCAAGUCGGAUGUGAAAGCCCUCGGCUCAACCGGGGAAGUGCACUCGAAACUGCAAGGCUAGAGUCUCGGAGAGGAUCGUGGAAUUCUCGGUGUAGAGGUGAAAUUCGUAGAUAUCGAGAGGAACACCGGUGGCGAAGGCGGCGAUCUGGACGAUGACUGACGCUGAGACGCGAAAGCGUGGGGAGCAAACAGG